GGUCCUGGAUCGGCUGCUUGCAAGGCAAACGCCGCUGUGCUAUCUCUCCGGGCCCACAAUAUUCUAUUUUGCAACUCAGGACUCAUUGUUCUGAAUGAGUUCUGGUAUAUAUAACAGGGAACAUA